rnacentral:ncRNA from 10 species
UACGUUCAUCUCAACACAUUUGAGACGCAAGUAGGGCUGAGCCUGAAGGAACGGGAA